AUUUUUCUUCGAUUAAUCUUAGAAUUUCUAGCAUAUAUGUAUAAUAUAUCCUUGUCCGAUUCCACACAAACAUGAUUUUUUUUCUUUUAUUUCACAUGGUUUUUUUAAAACAAUUCCUAGUUUGAUUCCACGUGCGUAUGCAGUAUUUUUUUUUCUUUUUUCCUCUUAUUUUUCCACGGUUGUAACAAACUGUGUAGGUAGUUUUCCUUUUUUAAAAAAACUUUCUAGUCCGAUUCCACUUAAAAAAAUAAAAUAAAGUUACUUUUUUUUCUUUUUUACUCUUGUUUUUCCACGGUUGUAACAAACUGUUUAGGUAGUUUUCCUUUUUUUAAAAAAACUUCCUAGUCCGAUUCCACUUUAAAA
rnacentral:lncRNA from 1 species